UGGGGAAUUUUGGACAAUGGGGGAAACCCUGAUCCAGCCAUCCCGCGUGUGCGAUGAAGGCCUCCGGGUUGUAAAGCACUCUUGGCAGGAAAGAAACGUCAUGGGUUAAUACCCCGUGAAACUGACGGUACCUGCAGAAUAAGCACCGGCUAACUACGUGCCAGCAGCCGCGGUAAUACGUAGGGUGCAAGCGUUAAUCGGAAUUACUGGGCGUAAAGCGUGCGCAGGCGGUUCGGAAAGAAAGAUGUGAAAUCCCAGAGCUCAACUUUGGAACUGCAUUUUUAACUACCGGGCUAGAGUGUGUCAGAGGGAGGUGGAAUUCCGCGUGUAGCAGUGAAAUGCGUAGUUAUGCGGAGGAACACCGAUGGCGAAGGCAGCCUCCUGGGAUAACACUAACGCUCAUGCACGAAAACGUGGGGAGCAAACAGG
rnacentral:rRNA from 1 species